rnacentral:rRNA from 1 species
UACGUAGGGUGCAAGCGUUAAUCGGAAUUACUGGGCGUAAAGCGUGCGCAGGCGGUUCGGCAAGUGAGGUGUGAAAUCCCAGGGCUUAACCUUGGAACUGCACUUCUAACUACCGGGCUAGAGUACGUCAGAGGGGGGUAGAAUUCCACGUGUAGCAGUGAAAUGCGUAGAGAUGUGGAGGAAUACCGAUGGCGAAGGCAGCCCCCUGGGAUGAUACUGACGCUCAUGCACGAAAGCGUGGGGAGCAAACAGG